GUAGGGAAUAUUGCGCAAUGGACGAAAGUCUGACGCAGCGACGCCGCGUGAGUGAUGAAGGCCUUAGGGUCGUAAAGCUCUGUUGAAUGGGAAGAAAAAAAUGACGGUACCAUUCGAGGAAGGACCGGCUAACUUCGUGCCAGCAGCCGCGGUAAUACGAGGGGUCCUAGCGUUGUUCGGAAUCAUUGGGCGUAAAGGGUGUGUAGGUGGCCAUGUAAGUCAGGUGUGAAAGCCCCGGGCUCAACCCGGGAAGUGCACUUGAUACUGCGUGGCUUGAGUACCGAAGAGGGUAGUGGAAUUCCAGGUGUAGUGGUGAAAUACGUAGAUAUCUGGAGGAACACCGGUGGCGAAGGCGGCUACCUGGUCAAGUACUGACACUGAGACACGAAAGCAUGGGGAUCAAACAGGAUUAGAUACCCCGGUAGUCC
rnacentral:rRNA from 1 species